AGGCAGGCUAUGUUCGUCUCCAAGGCCCAAGGAGAAUUCGGUUAUCGGCCAAUCAGAGCCCACGGCGGUCUCCGGAGCCCGCACCCGUCAGCCAAUUGGGGGCUCGGGUACACUGACCGCGGCUUCUAAGGAAUCGAGGCCCUGGAGAGCAAAUUACCUUUGAGGUCCUCACGUCACCAAAGGCUGUCAUGCAGUGCAGAAAAGCAAGAAUCGAUGGGGAUACGUAAAAGUGACAUAAGCCAGCUCCUGAUUCUUGAUACAGUUUGUGCCAGAUAUCGGAGAUAGGCUUGGCACCUGGCAGGAGAACAACAAACAGUAUGAAAAUGAAUGAAUGUGAUGGCUUUUUAAGGAAGAAAGCAGGGCCUUGCCCCACGAACAGGCUGGAAGGUGCCCCAGGCCCAGAGGU